CCUACGGGUGGCUGCAGUGAGGAAUAUUGGUCAAUGGGCGCGAGCCUGAACCAGCCAAGUCGCGUGAGGGAAGACGGUCCUAUGGAUUGUAAACCUCUUUUGUCGGGGAGCAAAAGACGCCACGCGUGGCGUUCCGAGAGUACCCGAAGAAAAAGCAUCGGCUAACUCCGUGCCAGCAGCCGCGGUAAUACGGAGGAUGCGAGCGUUAUCCGGAUUUAUUGGGUUUAAAGGGUUCGCAGGCGGAAGAUCAAGGCAGCGGUAAAAUUGAGAGGCACCACCUCUUCGAGCUGGUGAAACUGGUUUUCUUGAGUGAGCGAGAAGUAAGCGGAAUGUGUGGUGUAGCGGUGAAAUGCAUAGAUAUCACGCAGAACUCCGAUUGCGAAGGCAGCAUACUGGCGCUCAACUGACGCUCAUGCACGAAAGUGUGGGUAGCGAACAGGAUUAGAUACCCCUGUAGUC
rnacentral:rRNA from 1 species